rnacentral:snRNA from 1 species
AUGCUCACUUUGGCAGCACAUAUACUAAAACUGGAAUGAUANAGAGAAGUUUAGUAUGACCCUUGCGCAAGGAUGUCACACAAAUUCGUGAAGUGUUCCAUUAUUAU